GGGCAGAGCGCGUGUGGCGGCCGAGCACAUGGGCCCGCGGGCCGGGCGGGCUCGGGGCGGCCGGGACGAGGAGGGGCGACGACGAGCUGCGAGCAAAGAUGUGCCCCGGGACCCCCGGCACCUUCCAGUGGAUUUCCUUGCGGAAAGGAUGUUGGCGGUCCCUGUGACCUGUGGAGACACGGCCAGAUCUGCCCUCCAGACCAUAGCUGUCUGCAGUGCAGGAAGCCAACUAUUAAGGGGAAACAAAAGUGUUCUUAGGAGUCCUGCUGUCACUGUGGAUUGAGCCGGUGAAGCCCUGAGGGAUUUCAUCGCUGAGGUGGAUGGAGAAGCAGCUGGGGGCCUUGGCUGUAAGGACCCCUAAGGGCCUGAUCUUUUGGCCAGAAGGAGAUUAAAAAGAUGCCCCUCAAGAUGGCUGUGCCUGUCAGCUGCAUGGAGCUUCGUUCAAGUAUUUUCUGAGCCUGAUGGAUUUACAGUGAUCUUCAGUGGUCUGGGGAAUAACGCUGGUGGAACCAUGCACUGGAAUGACACACGCCCGGCACAUUUCAGGAUACUAAAAGUGGUUUUAAGGGAGGCUGUGGCUGAAUGCCUCAUGGAUUCUUACAGCUUGGAUGUCCAUGGGGGACGAAGGACUGCAGCUGGCUGAGAGGGUUGAGAUCUCUGUUUACUUAGAUCUCUGCCAACUUCCUUUGGGUCUCCCUAUGGAAUGUAAGACCCCGACUCUUCCUGGUGAAGCAUCUGAUGCACGUUCCAUCCGGCGCUCAGCUGGGCUUGAGAUUCCUGGGAACACCACCAUGGAGGGCCUGGCCUUUGGCGGUGGACAGUCUGUGGCUGGGUGGGAACGUCAGGAGUGGGGCCUGCCUCUUUGCUGGGAAUGCCGUGCACUCCCAGCCCACUUGCCCCAUGCCAGCACUCGAGGCAGGACUUCGCAGGUGAGCAGUAACGGAAAUCAGCCCCGUUUAUUCCUCCCAGCACCUGCCUUAUCCAACUCCCCACGCUGUGGCUGAGUCCCAGCCUGCUAUGGAAGCAUCACUGGACUCCCAUUGAACUCUGUGCAGAUUCGCUGUUCGUAGACAUGGUACCUGAUGGACACCAAGCUACGUACAGCUUCAAGGCCCCUUCUUUCUUUGCUAAUAAAAAAUAAAAAAUAAAAACAUAA
rnacentral:lncRNA from 1 species